UUUACAUGGCGAGACCGCGGACGGCUCAUUAAAUCAGUCGUGGUCCAUAUGGGCUAGAGUUAACCUUACUUGGAUAACUGUGGUAAUUCCAGAGCUAAUACAUGCAACUCUUAUCCUGAUGUGUGUGCUUGUCGUGCACUGACGGAUGCUUUUAUUAGACCAAACCGCUGAGUGCGUUGCUGUUUGUGUGUGUGUGCUGCCUUUGUCGGUGGUGUGCGUGCACUGGUGAUGUAUGACUCGUUCGAUGGUGACUCUGGAUAACCUUUUUGACAAGCGAACGUACCCCUUUGUUGUGGGACGUCGCUGCCACUUUCGAGUGUCUGACUUAUCAGCUAUCAACCGUUCGUUAUGUGCGACCGAUGGCUUUGACGGGUAACGGGGAAUCAGAGUUCGAUUCCGGAGAGGCAGCCUGAGAGACGGCUACCACGUCCAAGGACGGCAGCAGGCACGCAAAUUACCCAAUCCCAGCACCUGGGGGAGGUAGUGACGAAAUAUAACGAUGCGGGCGCCCUUUCUGGGGCCCCGCAAUCGGAAUGGGCACUUUCUAAACAACCUGUUGAGAACCUACUGAAGGGCAAGUCUGGUGCCAGCAGCCGCGGUAAUUCCAGCUUCAGCAGCAUCUAUUAAAGUUGCUGCGGUUAAAAGGCUCGCAGUUGAAUGUCAGUAUCGAGCGCAGUCGUGUCCCUAGAUCACUCGUUGUUGGUGUGCGUUCGGGAUCGUGUGCUGCUUGGACUCUCGUGCAAGUCUCUUCUUGCUUGCUCAUUCUCGUGUGUGUGUGUGCGUUGGCGGAGUUCGCUCUUCCUUCGUGUGUGCGCGUGCGGCUUGGGUGGUGAGGAGGAGGAUGAGUGCGGUGUUCGUGGUGGUGCGCCCUGUUCGUGUGCUCUUCGAGCCUUGGAUAACACACUCCAAGUCCACCGUCAAAGCUUAAAUUCUUCUUAGAGGGAUUCACGGUUCUGAAGCCGUAAGAAACUGAGAGCAAUAACAGGUCUGUGAUGCCCUUAGAUGUUCUGGGCCGCACGCGCGCUACAAUGCCGGGCACAGCAGGUGUUCUUCCUACUCCGACAGGAGCGGGUAACCCUCUGAAAGCCCUUGAACUUUUGAAUUGUCUUUUGAUAUAUAUGCACGUGUGUGCGUCGCUUCAUUGUGGCGUGCGCGCGUGUGUUAUUGGCGUGAUUGGGCCUGGGUCUUGCAAUUUUUACCCACAAACGAGGAAUGCCUUGUAGCGGCGGGUCACUGAGCCCGCCGUGACUCAGUCCCUGCCCUUUGUACACACCGCCCGUCGCUACUACCGAUUGGGUGUACCAGUGAAAG
rnacentral:rRNA from 1 species